rnacentral:rRNA from 1 species
UACGUAGGGGGCGAGCGUUGUCCGGAUUUAUUGGGCGUAAAGAGCGUGUAGGCGGUUGGGUAGGUCCGUUGUGAAAACUCGAGGCUCAACCUCGAGACGCCGAUGGAAACCCCCCAGCUAGAGUCCGGAAGAGGAGAGUGGAAUUCCUGGUGUAGCGGUGAAAUGCGCAGAUAUCAGGAAGAACACCGGUGGCGAAGGCGGGUCUCUGGGCCGAUAUUGACGCUGAGGAGCGAAAGCGUGGGGAGCGAACAGG